rnacentral:rRNA from 1 species
CCUACGGGUGGCAGCAGUGAGGAAUAUUGGUCAAUGGACGAGAGUCUGAACCAGCCAAGUAGCGUGAAGGAUGACUGCCCUAUGGGUUGUAAACUUCUUUUAUAUGGGAAUAAAAUGUUCCACGUGUGGGAUUUUGUAUGUACCAUAUGAAUAAGGAUCGGCUAACUCCGUGCCAGCAGCCGCGGUAAUACGGAGGAUCCGAGCGUUAUCCGGAUUUAUUGGGUUUAAAGGGAGCGUAGGUGGAUUGUUAAGUCAGUUGUGAAAGUGUGCGGCUCAACCGUAAAAUGGCAGUUGAAACUGGCAGUCUUGAGUACAGUAGAGGUGGGCGGAAUUCGUGGUGUAGCGGUGAAAUGCUUAGAUAUCACGAAGAACUCCGAUUGCGAAGGCAGUUCACUGGACUGCAACUGACACUGAGGCUCGAAAGUGUGGGUAUCAAACAGGAUUAGAUACCCUAGUAGUC